UACGUAGGGUGCGAGCGUUGUCCGGAAUUAUUGGGCGUAAAGAGCUCGUAGGUGGUGUGUCGCGUCUGCCGUGAAAGCCCGGGGCUUAACUCCGGGUCUGCGGUCGAUACGGGCAGACUAGAGUGCGGUAGGGGAGACUGGAAUUCCUGGUGUAGCGGUGAAAUUCGUAGAUAUCGGGAGGAACACCGGUGGCGAAGGCGGGUCUCUGGGCCGAUACUGACGCUGAGGAGCGAAAGCGUGGGGAGCGAACAGG
rnacentral:rRNA from 1 species